UUGCAUAUCAAUAAGCGGAGGAAAAGAAACCAACAGGGAUUGCCUUAGUAGCGGCGAGUGAACAGGCAAAAGCUCAGAUUUGAAAGCCUCUCGGGGCGUUGUAUUCUGAAGCCAGCAUUCUGAGAACUUGAUGUCUAAGUCUUCUGGAAAGAAGCGCCAGAGAGGGUGAUAGCCCCGUGAGACAUUGACCUCGCUGUAGAUUGCUGGCGUGGAGUCGAGUUGUUUGGGAAUGCAGCUCAAAUGGGUGGUAUGCUCCAUCUAAAGCUAAAUAUCUGCGAGAGACCGAUAGCGAACAAGUACUGUGAAGGAAAGAUGAAAAGAACUUUGAAAAGAGAGUGAAAUAGUACGUGAAAUUGUUGAAAUGGAAGGGCAGGCCGCUAACCAUGUAGAGCCGUGUUUGGGGGAAGGAUAAAAGCCAGGGAAUGUGACUCCACUCGUGGAGUGUUAUAGCCUUGGUCAAUACUUCCACCCGGGCGCGAGGAUCUCAGGCUCUACUAAAUGGUGGUCUGCCACCCGUCUUGAAACACCGACCA
rnacentral:rRNA from 1 species